GCCCGUUUAGCUCAGUGGUAGAGCGUGUCACUCGUACGAGCAUCUCCAUGUCGAGAUAGCUUCACUCGCAAUGACAAGGUCGCUAGUUCAAUCCUGGCAGGGGGCA